GACGUAGGAGGCGAGCGUUGUCCGGAGUUACUGGGCGUAAAGGGUGCGCAGGCGGCCCCUUAAGGUGGCGGUGAAAGCUCCUGGCUCAACUGGGAGAGGGCCGUGACGACUGGGGGGCUUGAGGCUCGGAGAGGGACGUGGAAUUCCGGGUGGAGCGGUGAAAUGCGUAGAUAUCGUCUGGAACGCCAAAGGUGAAAACAGCUCGCUGGGGUUGUGCUGACGCUGAGACACGAAAGCCAGGGGAGCGAACGGG
rnacentral:rRNA from 1 species